rnacentral:rRNA from 1 species
AACGAACGCUGGCGGCAUGCCUAACACAUGCAAGUCGAACGAGACCUUCGGGUCUAGUGGCGCACGGGUGCGUAACGCGUGGGAACCUGCCCUUAGGUUCGGAAUAACUCCCCGAAAGGGGUGCUAAUACCGGAUAAUUUCUUCGGACCAAAGAUUUAUCGCCUUUGGAUGGGCCCGCGUUGGAUUAGCUAGUUGGUAGGGUAAAAGCCUACCAAGGCGACGAUCCAUAGCUGGUCUGAGAGGAUGAUCAGCCACACUGGGACUGAGACACGGCCCAGACUCCUACGGGAGGAAGCAGUGGGGAAUAUUGGACAAUGGGCGAAAGCCUGAUCCAGCAAUGCCGCGUGAGUGAUGAAGGCCUUAGGGUUGUAAAGCUCUUUUACCCGGGAUGAUAAUGACAGUACCGGGAGAAUAAGCUCCGGCUAACUCCGUG